UUCAAGUGUAUGAAUUCUUUGUUUGUUUUAUUUUUACGAGCAUAUAACAUCCUUUUUUAUCGUUAAUUAUCAUCAAAUUAACAACAAAAUUUGAGAAAACAGUUGUCUGAAGCUAGACCAGAUUGAAAACGUCGACGAAUUCGGUAAUCUGCCACAAGGAACGUUGAAAAAGGGUUCAGCAGACGAAAACAAAGUUGUCUGCCAAGGCUGGGUGAAUUUGUGACAACUUGAACUCCAAACGUGUUACGAUUUCACCUGAGACUUAAAUCAUAAAUAGUUAUUGUGUAAUAUUAUACCUGCGUGAGUUUGCCUUCCCCGUAGGUUUUCUCUGAGUAGUGAGUAGCUAGUUUAGUCAUGCUCGCAUGUGUUUUGGCAUUAAGCAAAUGCACCACUUGGCAUUGACCCAAAUGCAGUAAAGUUACUUGUAAUGCCCAUUCCGUUCUCUCACAAGAAGACAGAAAUGAAGCGUUGGCGUCACUUGGAGGUGGGCCUGUAUCAUUCCUUGUUGGACAGAUUCAUUGUGAGGGCCUUGGAUAGGUUGAUGCUGAAUGGUG